rnacentral:ncRNA from 1 species
CCUAUGGAGUAUCACAUCAAACGCAAGUAGCUGUUAUCAAAAGCAAAAGCAGAUACGAGGAAAUAGGAA